AAGUCAUCGUAAAUAUGCUACAUAAAUGUUUGAUAUAAUUACACAAAAUGUAUGUUCAAGUAAUACCUGAUGUGUUUGUAUUGUCAUGUUAUUCAUGUGGAACGUCAAUAACGUCUGUCGCUGUGUACCCCCUACUGCUCUAAAUAGUGUGACACCUUUCAUUAUAAGUUAGAGCCACGCCUUUGUACUUCCCUUUUGGUUCGUGAUCUCCAAGUGAAAGGGGGCACGUUAUUCGGCCACAUUGCGACUGCAUAUGUGUGUUUUACUUCUCAGGGGCAGCCGGACCAGGAGGGGAUAGAGAAGGAGAGAAAAAGGAGACAGAGGGAGGAUUGCGGGGACAAAAGCAACAAGAGAUUCAUGAUGAGAUCGAGAAUCUUAGGGAGGAAAAGAGAGCACUUCAUGGCACAGUAAAGGGAUAACACUGCUCUGUCUGAAGCUCUCAAGGAAGAUGAAUAAGCAUAGAAGAUAAAUCUUUGAGCAAAUGAAGAAUACAAUCGAUGGGAUGGAUCAGAACACAGAAAUGAAGGAUGUGAUUGUGACUGGGCUCAGAAUUCCACCAGGCCUUACGCCAGGGCAGUUGAAAGCCGAGGCGAACCAAAUGAAAUGGAUGUCGCCUCAACGAAGCAACAAGUUGACAACUUUCCAGAAAAUGUUCAAUGUUCCUCACUGACAUGACAGAAGAGGAAAUUAUUGAUAUUGUGAAUAUAAUAAAAACUGUGAAUAAAUGCAAAAAUGAAAAUAGCAAAAGAAGUAGCAAUCUACAAGACUGACGGACACCUGCUCAUAAACUACAGACCAGUUUCCUUACUUCCUCAGUUUUCCAAAAUCGUUGAAAAAUGAUUAAUACCAGGUUAGAAAAAUUUAUAGAUAUAAGCCAACUACUCACAGACAGCCAAUACCGAUAGAGAACAAACAUUUCAACAUCAAUGGCACUAAUUGAAAUAACUGAGGAAAUUACCAAUGCAGUGUGCACCCAAAGUAUUUAUGGAUCUAACAAAAGCAUUUGAUACAAUUAAUCAUAACAUCUUAAUUAACAAAUUAGAACCCUAUGGCAUCAGAGGGUUGGUCUUGAACUGGGUGAAAAGCUACUUAACAAAUACAAAGCAAUAUGUGAAGCUAGGAGAAUAUACGUACAUCUGCAUGCGGUCAACGAUCAGGGCCGUUUCUAGCUUUGUGGGGGCCCAAAGCAAGAUGCUGUUUGUAGGCCCCUAAUUUGUCAAUCUACAAUGAAGAGAUUCCUAACCCUUAGAUGGUCCACUAAGAUGCCAUAACCUAUGAAUGUUUCAAUGGAGUAUUAUCACUGCGGCUGUUGCUAUUAUCUUGUCAUUUCCAUUAUGGUCUUUGUGGCAGUCUUGUUUUGUUAUUGCCAUUGUAAUUGUUGCUGCUGAUGUUGUUGUCUCUCUCUUUAUUGUCCCCCUCUGGUCUCCGCACUCCCCCUCUGUCUUAUUGUCUCUUCUUCUCCAUCCCCUCCUGCUCCGGUUCGGCCGCUCCAAAUUUGCAUUACAAUAAACAUCAAAGAAGUCAAAUAAUUAUCUACAUAACAGAGGGAAGAGUAUCUUACACUUUUCCCUUGCAGAGCAAACUUGUUUAGAAUGUAAGGGCAUUUAGAUCAACAAUACUAUCUGCCCCAAUGACUGGACAGGACAAAAAAGAAAAAAAAAAAAAGAUGCCAUAAUCUAUUAGACUUCAUGGGCAAAACAGGCUGCAGUUCCAAUGCAACAUUUUAAUUAUAAUACAAUUGUAAUACAAUUAAAAACAACAAUCCUUAAUGAAUAUGAAUCCUGCACAAAUAAAACACAUUUUCAGCAUUCAUAAAUUUUUUUACUUUAAAUAAAAAAAUACUUGGGAUGUGAACAAUAAACUGAUGUGACCGGAUAUCCGGUUUGAGGAGCGAACUUUAGAUGAAUUGACUGUGGAGACAUGCACCAGGUAUCGCGAGAGAAGCAAUCGGUUGACAGUGUCUAAUAAACAACGCGAGAGCCUGGGCUGCCGGCGAAAGGAUUGUCGCGCACACUCCAUAACUUGCCACGGCUAAGACGAGAAUGCUAAACGUCUUUGAACGUCAAAGUUUGGAACGUCUUUGGAUUAAUUUCAAGAAGGGUGCAAAACUUGACCAGCCAGACCAACAGAGGCGUAUGGUAACUUUUCUGCUUUGUAACCUGAUUGCUUUGAAAUGUUGUACCAGGAGAGUUGAAAGCACUAUGCUCAAUCUAAAAUGUUGUCCGAUUACCAUUGUUAUGACAUUUUGAGAUGUUCCAAGCUAACACAGCAUUUUCAUGGCACCCAUGUGACAAAUACUUCUAUUUACUUAUCUGUGCUUGGAAGAGAUGUGUCAUUACUUAAGGGGCUCUGCAAUAUUUAUUUAUUUUGUAUUAUUAAUUGGACUGAAGGUUAAGACUUGUGUUUUUUCAUUGUUAUAUUUUAUAUAGACAGAUUGAUGUUUAUUGUCAUUGCACACAGUAUACGACAAAACUCAGUUUCAUGGCUCCACUUCCAUUUCUAGCUACUUUAAAACAUGUUAAAACUUAAAUGUUUCAAAUCCAAAACAGGUAUAAAAAUAUUGAUAUAAAAUGUAGAAUGUAAAAUAUU